GCCGUGGGGGGUGCUUACACAUGCAGUCGAACGAUGAACCGCUUUCGGGCGGGGAUUAGUGGCGAACGGGUGAGUAACACGUGGGCAAUCUGCCCUGCACUCUGGGACAAGCCCUGGAAACGGGGUCUAAUACCGGAUAUGACUGUCCAUCGCAUGGUGGAUGGUGUAAAGCUCCGGCGGUGCAGGAUGAGCCCGCGGCCUAUCAGCUUGUUGGUGAGGUAGUGGCUCACCAAGGCGACGACGGGUAGCCGGCCUGAGAGGGCGACCGGCCACACUGGGACUGAGACACGGCCCAGACUCCUACGGGAGGCAGCAGUGGGGAAUAUUGCACAAUGGGCGAAAGCCUGAUGCAGCGACGCCGCGUGAGGGAUGACGGCCUUCGGGUUGUAAACCUCUUUCAGCAGGGAAGAAGCGAAAGUGACGGUACCUGCAGAAGAAGCGCCGGCUAACUACGUGCCAGCAGCCGCGGUAAUACGUAGGGCGCAAGCGUUGUCCGGAAUUAUUGGGCGUAAAGAGCUCGUAGGCGGCUUGUCACGUCGGUUGUGAAAGCCCGGGGCUUAACCCCGGGUCUGCAGUCGAUACGGGCAGGCUAGAGUUCGGUAGGGGAGAUCGGAAUUCCUGGUGUAGCGGUGAAAUGCGCAGAUAUCAGGAGGAACACCGGUGGCGAAGGCGGAUCUCUGGGCCGAUACUGACGCUGAGG
rnacentral:rRNA from 1 species